ACAGAUAUACAAUCCUCAAGGUUAAGUACAAAAAAUUCAGGAUCCAAUCAACUACUAAGUCCUAAUACUAUCACUAUUACACAACAAAAGUUCUAGUCAAAAGUUUAGUCUUUCUCUAAUCACCAGUUCUUGCUCAAGGACCCUGUAAGGAAAACUAAAACUAAAGGAAUGAGUUAAAACUCAGUGAGGUUCCCAUACACAUAACCAAGCAAUUGCAACAAGGACAUUAUUCAUUUAAUAACAAUCAAUCGAGAAAACAUUCACAAUAUAAAAACAAUGAGAACACACAUUAAAAGGAUACAUGCUCACGUAGAGCCCUUUGUUCAAUCAUUCAUUCAUUCAACCGGUCAUUCUCCUUCAUUCAAUCAUUCAUUUCUUCCCUUAUAACUUCAACAUUUCAAUUCAUUCAUUUUAUUUCCCGCCACUAGCCAAUUCACUGGCCAGUUUUCCACCAAACUUCGUGGUCAUACUCAAGUAUACCAAACAUUAUCCCAGGGUCACCAGUCGCUCGACCGAAUCCAUUUCUAGCUCGACUCGACUGGCAACGAAGGGCAAGGACCCAAUUCAGCCAAUGCGGUACCAUACAGCCCACAUAGCUUACAUUCAUGCACAAUUAAUGCUCAAUCAGUUAAUCAUUUAAAAAUUUGCUUUCAUUUAGGUCAAGUGCGAUAAAGUAUACACUCGACCAUUGAAAAUCCAUUUAACAGUCAUUGGAAGGCAUUAACACUCAAUCGAAUAUUCACAACAAGUACACAGUCAUUUAAUACACAAACAUGCAAGAAACACUCACCCUAAACAAAUCACGUUUUAUUAAAAUUCAGUUCAGAGUCGGUACCUUGGCCACUAUCGAAAUCUGCGGUCAAAUAUUAUCCACAAAGAGCCAAUCAUACAUGAGUGCAAACUGCAUAACUUACAUUUCUAUAUCAAAGGAAAAAGGCAUGAAAAUUAUAGUAAGUCAUAUAGGCAAGGUGCACGCAUAAUUUGUAAAAGAAAAUGAUCAAAAACGGUUAAGUUCAAAGCCAAUAUGUGCAACUAAAAACUAUGUUUUGAAUACUUGUUUAGAAUGUUAGAAAUCAGGUUUAGAACACUUGAGAAGUACAUGUUAAGUCGGACCAAGGAAACGGAAAACAAGAGAAAGGCAACGAGAAACAGUGAAGAUGGCAGCUUCGCCAUCCUUUGGUGUUUUGAUCACAACUGAUGCAACACUUAUCAGAUUGAGGCAAAUUUUAUGGCGUUCGAAGAUAAGACAUAGACCUACAUUUCCUAAGAAGACAUCGAUACCCAGUUCUCUCAUUUUCAAGGUAAAAAAUGGAAGGUCAGAAGCACAUGAAAAACAGGUCAGGAAAAUUAGAGUUUUUGCGCAGUCAGGAGUGCUCUGGCCAAAUCAUAAGCUAAAAUGAUCCAAUUGAUCUGAAAUUUUGCAGGUAGAAAGUUAACUCAAAUCCAUAUAACUUUUAUGUUUUGUCCAAAAGCUGAUUCAGUCUAAAUCAUGGAGAAAUUUGCAACCCAAGUUGAUUCCAAAAACAGGGCAGAACUGAAAUUCAAGUAAAAAAUUCACUUAUUGAAAUUGUAAACAUGCAUAUCAAAGCUCAACCACCUUUCUAAUAUGAUUGGACAACCUAUAUCAAAGUUACAAACUUAACAAAGGCUGAAACCUCACUUCUUAAGUUAAAAUUUGCAUAUAACCAUCACUAUUUGCGAUUAAAAGUUAGAAAUUCCACCUUAACACUAAAUUAGCUUCUACUAAUCAUAUAAAUGCCAAAUCAAAGAUGAAAUAACUUAUAUAAAAUCUGAAAAAUAUCAAUAAAACUGAAAUUUAUCAUCCCCAACCCUAAAAUCGCAAGAAUCUCCAUAAAAUCAAUCAAAAUCAAGUUAUCCAACAACAUUUAAAGAACAACAGGAGCUUCUAAUGAUUAUACCUUCCAACACCUUGAAAACAAUCAAAGCAAACCCCUUUCUUCUCAAAACACUCCACCCUUAGCUUACUAUCACCUUAGAUGCGAAGUUAAUCGGGGUAAAUUUUGGUAAUUGGAAGAAAUCUCUCAAGAUUUGGUGAAGGAAAUCAAAGAAAAAAUGGAGUUUUCUCUCUUGGUCUUGCUCCUCUUGAGGUUUGGCCACCUUGAGAAAGAAUGAAG
rnacentral:lncRNA from 1 species